GUGAAAUUCCGUCGGAAUCUGGGAGGACCAUCUCCUAAGGCUAAAUACUCUCUAGUGACCGAUAGUGAACCAGUACCGUGAGGGAAAGGUGAAAAGCACCCCGGAAGGGGAGUGAAAUAGAACCUGAAACCGUGUGCUUACAAGUAGUCAGAGCCCGUUAAUGGGUGAUGGCGUGCCUUUUGUAGAAUGAACCGGCGAGUUACGAUUUGAUGCAAGGUUAAGCAGUAAAUGUGGAGCCGUAGCGAAAGCGAGUCUGAAUAGGGCGUUUAGUAUUUGGUCGUAGACCCGAAACCAGGUGAUCUACCCUUGGUCAGGUUGAAGUUCAGGUAACACUGAAUGGAGGACCGAACCGACUUACGUUGAAAAGUGAGCGGAUGAACUGAGGGUAGCGGAGAAAUUCCAAUCGAACCUGGAGAUAGCUGGUUCUCUCCGAAAUAGCUUUAGGGCUAGCCUCAAGUGAUGAUUAUUGGAGGUAGAGCACUGUUUGGACGAGUGGCCCCUCUCGGGUUACCGAAUUCAGACAAACUCCGAAUGCCAAUUAAUUUAACUUGGGAGUCAGAACAUGGGUGAUAAGGUCCGUGUUCGAAAGGGAAACAGCCCAGACCACCAGCUAAGGUCCCAAAAUAUAUGUUAAGUGGAAAAGGAUGUGGCGUUGCCCAGACAACUAGGAUGUUGGCUUAGAAGCAGCCAUCAUUUAAAGAGUGCGUAAUAGCUCACUAGUCGAGUGACACUGCGCCGAAAAUGUACCGGGGCUAAACAUAUUACCGAAGCUGUGGAUUGUCCUUUGGACAAUGGUAGGAGAGCGUUCUAAGGGCGUUGAAGCAUGAUCGUAAGGACAUGUGGAGCGCUUAGAAGUGAGAAUGCCGGUGUGAGUAGCGAAAGACGGGUGAGAAUCCCGUCCACCGAUUGACUAAGGUUUCCAGAGGAAGGCUCGUCCGCUCUGGGUUAGUCGGGUCCUAAGCUGAGGCCGACAGGCGUAGGCGAUGGAUAACAGGUUGAUAUUCCUGUACCACCUAUAAUCGUUUUAAUCGAUGGGGGGACGCAGUAGGAUAGGCGAAGCGUGCGAUUGGAUUGCACGUCUAAGCAGUAAGGCUGAGUAUUAGGCAAAUCCGGUACUCGUUAAGGCUGAGCUGUGAUGGGGAGAAGACAUUGUGUCUUCGAGUCGUUGAUUUCACACUGCCGAGAAAAGCCUCUAGAUAGAAAAUAGGUGCCCGUACCGCAAACCGACACAGGUAGUCAAGAUGAGAAUUCUAAGGUGAGCGAGCGAACUCUCGUUAAGGAACUCGGCAAAAUGACCCCGUAACUUCGGGAGAAGGGGUGCUCUUUAGGGUUAACGCCCAGAAGAGCCGCAGUGAAUAGGCCCAAGCGACUGUUUAUCAAAAACACAGGUCUCUGCUAAACCGUAAGGUGAUGUAUAGGGGCUGACGCCUGCCCGGUGCUGGAAGGUUAAGAGGAGUGGUUAGCUUCUGCGAAGCUACGAAUCGAAGCCCCAGUAAACGGCGGCCGUAACUAUAACGGUCCUAAGGUAGCGAAAUUCCUUGUCGGGUAAGUUCCGACCCGCACGAAAGGCGUAACGAUUUGGGCACUGUCUCAACGAGAGACUCGGUGAAAUCAUAGUACCUGUGAAGAUGCAGGUUACCCGCGACAGGACGGAAAGACCCCGUGGAGCUUUACUGUAGCCUGAUAUUGAAAUUCGGCACAGCUUGUACAGGAUAGGUA
rnacentral:rRNA from 1 species